GAAGAUUAUCGUUCCUAAAUCGGAUUGGGUGAAAAUGGGCGAACAAGGACUCUGAAAUUGGAAAUACUCUCCCUGUGUUACUGAACUUCGACCAGGAUGGUAUUAUGGAACAAAUUCGGGCAAGUUGGUCCUGUUCCUCUUACUUCACAGAGUUAAGUGAACAUAUUUUGGCCAUGGUCUUGGGUUUGAUGGAUUGAUUCAAGACUCAUGAUAGCAAACAAGAGGUUCUUCCUUUUGCUGCGGAGAUCUGUGCCCUCUCAAAAUCUUGGAAACGAAGAAAUCUUAUUUGAGGAUGUGGUUGUGGUUUUGUCAACUCCUUGAAAACUGGUGAUUGGUUUUCACUUCCAAGGUUUGGCUCUGAAGCAUCUUUUAAUGGGGUUGAAGAGCUUUCUUAACGAGGAUCCGACUCAUUGACCAAGCCUAUUCCGUCUUCGGAAAUGAUCAGACAUUUGAGGAGAGUGUAUAUUUCGUUGUUGCCUGAAAUCAGAAAUAUUUUGGCUUGCAACAAUGCCAUGAAAAACCUAUUCAUUUGAUGCAACUCUUAAAACGAAGGACGAAAAAUGAAGGGGAGAUUUUUAAAAAAGAUAA